AUUGAACGCUGGCGGCAUGCCUAACACAUGCAAGUCGAACGGCAGCACGGCAGUAGCAAUACUGUGGGUGGCGAGUGGCGGACGGGUGAGGAAUACGUCGGAAUCUGCCCAGUCGUGGGGGAUAACUAGCCGAAAGGUUAGCUAAUACCGCAUACGACCGAGAGGUGAAAGCGGGGGACCGCAAGGCCUCGCGCGAUUGGAUGAGCCGACGUCGGAUUAGCUAGUUGGUGGGGUAAAGGCCCACCAAGGCGACGAUCCGUAGCUGGUCUGAGAGGAUGAUCAGCCACACUGGAACUGAGACACGGUCCAGACUCCUACGGGAGGCAGCAGUGGGGAAUAUUGGACAAUGGGCGCAAGCCUGAUCCAGCAAUGCCGCGUGAGGGAUGACGGCCUUCGGUUGUAACCUCUUUCAGCAGGGAGAAGCGAAGUGACGGUACCUGCAGAGAAGACACCGGCUAACUACGUAGCCAGCAGCCGCGGUAA
rnacentral:rRNA from 1 species